UACGUAGGGCGCAAGCGUUAUCCGGAAUUAUUGGGCGUAAAGAGCUCGUAGGCGGUUUGUCGCGUCUGCCGUGAAAGUCCGGGGCUCAACUCCGGAUCUGCGGUUGGGUACGGGCAGACUAGAGUGAUGUAGGGGAGACUGGAAUUCCUGGAUGUAGCGGUGAAAUGCGCAGAUAUCAGGAGGAACACCGAUGGCGAAGGCAGGUCUCUGGGCAUUAACUGACGCUGAGGAGCGGAAAGCAUGGGGAGCGAACAGG
rnacentral:rRNA from 1 species